AGUAGCGGUACUGGGGUGCAAAGGAGCAAAAUAAAUAACAAUAUGGUGAUGAGGUAGUUGGAUGGGCUAUUUACAGAUUGGCUAUGUACAGGUGCAGGUGAUCUGUGAGCUGCUCUGACAGCUGGUGCUUAAAGCUAGUGAGGGAGAUAUGAGUCUCCAGCUUCAGUAAUUUUUGCAGUUUGUUCCAGUCAUUGGCAGCAAAGAACUGGAAGGAAAGGUGGAAUUGGCUUUGGGGGUGACCAAUGAAAUAUACCUACUGGAGCGUGUGCUGUGGGUGGGUGGGUGCUGCUAUGGUGACCAGUAAGCUGAGAUAAGGUGGGGCUUUACCCAGCAACGACUUAUAGAUGACCUGGAGCCAGUGGGUUUGGCGACGGAUAUGAAGCGAGGGCCAGCCAACGAGAGCAUACAGGUCGCAGUGUUAGAUCAUGGGGCAGAUAAACUAAUGCCAAGGAACUCAAUGCUCAGCCACCUAACCUCUGAGAUCAAAGCUACAGGUCCUAUCUCAGUGGCAGAGUACAUGAGGUUCUCACUAACCCAGUCAAGGGCUAUUAUGUGCAGAAUGAUAUGCUUGGGCCAGAUGGAGAUUUCAUCACAAUGCCAGAAAUUAGUCAGCUCUUUGGGGAGCUGCUGGGGAUCUGGUGUUUAAGUGAGUGGAUGGGAGCAGGGAAGCCCAGUCACUUCCAGUUAGUGGAGUUUGGACCAGGAAGAGGCUCCUUGGCCAAUGACAUUCUCAGUCAUCAGUCAGCUGCGUGGGGCUGCUGUCUCAGUGCACCUUGUGGAGGUGAGUUCUAAACUGAGCCAGGCUCUGACGAGGGACCAGAGCCAGGGGUGGGCCAGGAAGGAUGAGCCUGUGUACCGCCAGGGGACCACCACCACAGGCCUCCCCAUCUCCUGGUGCCGCAACCUGGAUGACGUCCCCAGAGUUGGCUUCCGCAAUCUACCUUGCUCAUGAGUUCUUUGACGCCUUACCCAUCCACAAAUUCCAGAGAACAAAGGGCUGGAGGGAGGUGAUGGUGGAUAUUGACUUAGAUGAGCCAGGCGAGCUGAGGUUUGUCAUAGUGCCAGCUCCCACUCUUGCCUCUCCUCAGCUCAUACAGAACAGCCUCAAUUCAUCGGCUCAUGGACUCUACGAGGUUUCGAAAGUGUUCCACACGGAUGCUGGCCACACGGAUGUUGACUCCAAUGCUUCCCACAGUUGUGUCAAGUUAGACCAUACUUGAGAGACGCAAGAAACUGUUGAGCGUGGGGGGAAAAAGCGUUGCAGUUCUUGACACAAACCGAUGUGCCUACUACGAUACUCUGUUCAAAGACACUUAAAUAUUUUUACUUUCUCAUUCACCCUCUGAAUAGCACACAAUCCAUGCCAAUUCAUGUCAAUUGUCUCAAGGCUUAAAAAUCCAUCUUUAACUCAUCUACUCCCCUUCAUCUACACUUAUUGAAGUGGAUUUAACAUGUGACAUUAAUUAAGGGGUCAUAGCUUUCACCUGGUCAGUCUGUCAUGGAAAGAGCAGGUGUUUCUAAUGUUUUGUACACUCGGUGUAUAUACAGUUGAAGUCGGAAGUUUACAUACACUUAGGUGGGAGUCAUUAAAACUCUUUUUUUCAACCACUCCACUAAUUUCUUGUUAACGAACUAUAGUUUUGGCAAGUCUGUUAGGACAUCUACUUUGUGCAUGACACAAGUAAUUUUUCAAACAAUUGUUUACAGACAUAUUAUUUCACUUAUAAUUCACUGUAUCACAAUUUGAGUGGGUCAGAAGUUUACAUUCACUAAGUGUACUGUGCCUUUAAGCAGCUUGGAAAUUUCUAGAAAAUGAUGUCAUGGCUUUAGAAGCUUCUGAUAGGCUAAUUGACAUCAUUUGAGUCAAUUGGAGGUGUACCUGUGGAUGUAUUUCAAGUCCAACCUUCAAACUCAGUGCCUCUUUGCUUGACAUCAUGGGAAAAUCGAAAGAAAUUAGCCAAGAUUUCAGAAAAAAUUGUAGAGUCUGGUUCAUUAUUGGGAGCAAUUUCCUAACUCCUGAAGGUACCAUGUUCAUCUGUACAAACAAUAGUACGCAAGUAUAAACUCCAUGGGACCACGCAGCCGCCAUACCGCUCGGGAAGAAGGCACGUUCUGUCUCCUAGAGAUUCAUGUAUUUUGGUGUGAAAAGUGCAAAUCAAUCCCAGAACAACAGCAGGACCUUGUGAAGAUGCUGGAGGAAACAGGUACAAAAGUAUCUAUAUCUACAGUAAAAUACAAAUCCUAUAUCGAAAUAACAUGGGGACAAAGAUUGUACUUUUUGGAGAAAUGUCCUCUGGUCUGAUGAAACAAAAAAAGGACUGUUUGGCCAUAAUGAUCAUCGUUAUGUUUGGAAGGAAAAGGGGGAGGCUUGCAAGCUGAAGAACACCAUCCCAACCGUGAAGCAUGGGGGUGACAGCAUCAUGUUGUGGGGAUGCUUUGCUGUAGGAGGGACUGCUGCACUUCAGAAAAUAGAUGGCAUCAUGAGGGGGGAAAAUGAUGUGGAUAUAUUGAAGCAACAUCUCAAGACAUCAGUUAAAGUUAAAUCUUGGUCGCAAAUGGGUCUUUCAAUUGGACAAUGACCCCAAGCAUACUUUCAAAGUUGUGGCAAAAUGGCUUAAGGACAACGAAGUCAAGGUAUUGGAGUGGCCAUCACAAAGCCCUGACCUCAAUCCUAUAGAAAAUUUGUGGGCAGAACUGAAAAGGUGUGUGUGUGAGCAAGGAGGCCUACAAAUCUGACUCAGUUACACCAGCUCUGUCUGGAGGAAUGGGCCAGAAUUUUUUAUAUUUAUUAUUAUUAUUUUUUUAACCUUUUAUUUAACCAGGCAAGUCAGUUAAGAACAUAUUCUUAUUUUCAAUGACGGCCUGGGAACAGUGGGUUAACUGCCUGUUCAGGGGCAGAACGACAGAUUUGUACCUUGUCAGCUCGGGGGUUUGAACUCGCAACUUAUUGCAAAUUCACCCAACUUAUUGUGGGAAGCUUGUGGAAGGCUACCCAAAACGUUUGACCCAAGUUAAACAAUUUAAAGGCAAUGCUAUCAAAUACUAAUUGAGUGUAUGUAAACUUCUGACCCACUGGGAAUGUGAUGAAAGAAAUAAAAAAAUCAUUCUCUCUGCUAUUAUUCUGACAUCUCACAUUCUUAAAAUAAAGUGGUGAUCCUAACUGACCUAAGAUGGAAUUUUUACUAGGAUUUAAUGUCAGAAAUGUUGAUAAACUGAGUUUUAUAUGUAUUUGGCGUAAGGUGUAUGUAAACUGUAAAACACGGAAAAUCACGUUUUUGAUUCAGUUUUUCUUGAGUUUUGUAUCAUAUUGUACAACAGCCGAUGAAACUAACACUGUAAAAGUGUGAAGAAAUGUGAUCAAUAUUAUUUGCUGAUAGUUACUGGUUGAAAAUACAAUUCACACUUAACCGGUUUUGCAUGGGUGUGGUUUUGGCUUGCAUGGUGACAUCACCAGGCGGUAUCAGUUAAUAGACCAAUAAACGAGAGUUCCAAACCUCUCUGCCAAUAACAGCCACUUUUGUGACCCAGAAAUGAUUUUGAAUUGAGAUUAAAACGGCUGCAUUGGGCCUUUCACUUUUUUAAAAUUAAAUU